rnacentral:rRNA from 2 species
GGGCUACACACGUGCUACAAUGGCGGUGACAGUGGGAAGCUACAUGGUGACAUGGUGCUGAUCUCUAAAAGCCGUCUCAGUUCGGAUUGUACUCUGCAACUCGAGUACAUGAAGGUGGAAUCGCUAGUAAUCGCGGAUCAGCAUGCCGCGGUGAA